CAGUAGCCGCGGGAAUACGGAGGGGGCUAGCGUUGUUCGGAAUUACUGGGCGUAAAGCGUACGUAGGCGGCUUUGUAAGUUAGAGGUGAAAGCCUGGUGCUCAACACCAGAACUGCCUUUAAGACUGCAUCGCUUGAACGUCGGAGAGGUGAGUGGAAUUCCGAGUGUAGAGGUGAAAUUCGUAGAUAUUCGGAAGAACACCAGUGGCGAAGGCGGCUCACUGGACGACUGUUGACGCUGAGGUACGAAAGCGUGGGGAGCAAACAGGAUUAGAUACCCGUGUAGUCCCUGUCUCUUAUAC
rnacentral:rRNA from 1 species